ensembl:lncRNA
AGGGGGGGUAGAGAGAGAGAGAUCUGAAAAAGCAAUCCUCUUCUGGCAGCGGUGCAGUUGUCCCUUCCGGCUGUCCAGCCCUCUCACCUUCAAUCUAGGAGAUAAGGACAGGUAGGGAGAGAGAAGAAAGGGGAAGGAGGGGGGUAGCAAAGACAGAGCCACGCAUUAGUCACACCCUGCUGAUCUGCGAGCAUAGCGAUCUGUCUGGUGAAUUAGGACAACUGUAACCUUGCACAAGUUAACUGACACAAAUUAGCAUGACACGCACAGGGAACACAUCACAGGGACAGGCGUAGUGCCAUUUCUCCUUGAUGGAUUCACCUUGUGACAAGUCUGUUCACAUGUCUACUCAGUCCAUUAGUAAGUAAACACUAUGUGGAUUUACAACGUGAAAGUCAGAUAUCCUGCUAUAAGCAUGUAACAGCAUUGUUUACCUGUGAAUUAACACAAAUACACAUGGCAUUUCCUAACACAGCUCAAUCGCUUUGGCAGGAACCAUUAUUUCAGCAACCCCUCAGCACUGGCCACCCAGCAGCCCUUAGCGCAUCCCUCCCACCGUACCCUCUUUCCUGUAAUUUUAUCCAUAAGAGCUAGUCCUUUCAGGGCUGGCUGCCCACACGAGGUCUCAGAGGCUGUGUGGUUUACAUAUCAUGCUGUGGUGGGGGUUGAGAAAAGAGGCUGCUGUGCAGAGGGGGUUUGUGGGCAAGCCAGGCUUGGGGGGUGAUGAGCGGGGAAGGGACGUCAUAGCUGUUACAGCAUUGCUCUGGUAAAGCAUUGCUCUGUUGAGGCAUAAACCUCCACUCUCCCCAUCAGCUCUGGAUGGCAGCGCAAGCUGAGGGUAAUUGGCUCAGCACUUCGUCCACCAAGGAUCCUAAUUGUCAUCCCAGGAGGGUAUAGGGAAAACAGAGGGGGGGAGUGCAACGGGAAGUAAACGUCCUAACUCCUUCUUUUCCUCUUUCCCUCUCUCUCUUGCUUUCUCUGUCCCUGUCUCUCUCGCGCUCUCUCUGUCCUCCUGGGCUGUAUGGAGUGAUUUAAUGCGGGGUUUGCCCAGAGCAGGUGCUUUCACUGAGUGAAGUCACCACCAGGCGGUUCAGUGCAGUGACCUCAGCACAGCAAACCCCACUGGGAGACAACGGAUAUGGCUGCCUUCCCCAGCCCUCUGGCUCAGCCAAUCACAGCGUGGGAGGCAGAGAGGGAGAGAGCGCGAGAGAGCGAAAGAGAGAGAGUGAGUGUGGGAGAGAGAGAGAGAGAGAGACGGAGAGCACAAGGGAGAGGAGGACAGACAGAGAAACAGAGAGAGAGAAACUGAAACCAAGAAAGUGAAACAGGGAGUAAGACAGUAAGAUAAGGAAAAAGAGAUACAUGGAGUGAAUGACUAAAGGAAAGUCAAGAGAGAGAUUGUGACAGCGAAAAAAGAAAGAGAAAAUAAAAGAAGGAGAGAGACAGUAAAGAGGACAGUUUAUCAGAAGAUGAUACCAGACGGGCCCACUAGUACGGCUCUGGGCACACCAGGGCACCACACAAUUAUACGUGACAGCUGGGUAGAGGGAAUGGUCUCAACUGCCAAGUCUACUGAGGAAAAGGGAGUCAUUUAGUGCGAAACCUAUCUGUCUCGUAAGCUAGGGGUCCACACUCUGGUUUGCGCUGUGCUGUUUCCCCCACGCCCUCUUUUCUAUGUUUACUACAAUUACUCAGUCCAUUUCACUUCAAACCCCCCCCCCCCUCCCCUACUCAUACCACAUUUACUCACACCUCCCUCUUUUUCCCCCUCACUACAUCAAUCCCCCUUUCUUUCUUUCUCUCACACACACACACACACACUCCAUCUCUUUCCGCUGUUUCUCUCUCUCUCUCUCGGAGGGCUGAAAGUACAGCAGUCAGACUCGAGUCACUGUGCUCCUUCUAAUCGAAAACACAUUUUCUCCAGCACUCCCUCCCUCUUGCUUUCCCCUGUCCGUCCCUCCCUGAGUGACAAUCAUUCCCCUAUUUCCUCUCUGUGCUGUUCUACAGUGCACGGCACUGUACACGGCCGAGCAAAACACACGCCCAGAGAGGCACAACACUAAGGCGUCAGAGAGUUGCACUCUGCACUCUUCUCUCUUGCCCUGUCUCUCUCUCUCUCUCUCUCUGCAUGUGGUCUUAUCACGCUUACCAGAUUCGAGCGGCAGAGGUUUUCAUCUGACUCAUCAUUCUGUCUCGAAUCGUUCACUCAGUUCUUCUUCAUGUGCACAUUCCUUAUGAAUAGACUGUUACCUCUCAGCUCUUUCAAAGGUUUUCAUAUAUAUUAAAGAUGACCAAGAGUGGGUGCUUCUGUCCGUUUUCAAAUCAAUGUCCUUAACCUCAGGGUAUUCACACAGCAUAAAAAACAAUUGCUUUAGCAGUAUUUUUUCUGUGUUGGAUAUAAACCCCAAAUGUUGUAUACAAGUCCCAUGUGUUCAAUAAAGCAGUUUCACUACUUUUUCUCAACUUGUGGUGUGUAAGACAGAGAAAUCAGAGAGGAAUUUAAUGGAUAAACACAUGCAAUUGAUCAAUAGACCCUCUUCUGUAAGAUGGAUACAUGGGGCCAAACAAAAACUGUGUACCAUUGUUAUAGGUAUACUAUUUAUGUGUAACUGAUCCGCUCGAAGUGCUGAGGGGUGUAUAAUUGAGAGAAAGAAGGAGAGAGAAAGAGAGAUGGAAGAGGUACGACAAAGCUGCGGAUGAAUAUGUAGACAUAGUAAAAAACUUAGCGCGCCCCCUCCCCUCGCACUCCGCACUUUUGCACACGUUGUUCAUAACUGCUGAAUGUAUCCUAGAGACACGCAAGAUCUCUGAGCUGCGCGCUCACACACACAGUAGUAGCUGUGCCGUUCCGUGUCUUUUGUAUAUUAAACCCAUUUACGUAUUACAACUGUUUAGUGAGACUACAUACGUUAUCAAAAUAUGACCUCAAAACAUAACGUUAGAUUAACAAAACCUUGUGCGCUCAUAUUCAGUAAUCCAAGCACAUUCUCGAAACAUAUCACAACAUAACCGCUGAAGAAAACGAAUGGUGGAACAUCUUGAAUUCAGUUAGAACGUAGGCUGUUUUUCCCAGCAAUGUGUGAGUAUUCUACACUGAGCAUUCUACGAGUUAAUACGUUAUUUCCUAACAUGCGACAGCCCACGUGCGUUGUUGUGGGUCAGAGUUCAAAGGUGUCCUGCAGUCCGGACAGGUUCACUUAGAUUAUUUAGCGACUUGAGAUACACGUGUAGUCUCAUUUGCUCUUGUCCAAGUCUUAACACACACGCCAUCUGUACGUGCUGUGAAGUAUACCGAAAAUUAGGUUAUCUGAGGAUGAUCGACAUGUCUCUGUAGGCAAGUAGGCUAUCACAUGAAACCCACAGAACUAGUAAAAAUACUCAACUCUACAGGCAAAGGUAACAAAUAGCUUUAAAAAGAUUCUGUUUCAAAAACUAAACCUCAACUCUUACUAGGAUAGCAAACGCACAACGAAACAACCACCAUUAUUUCAAUGGACUUUCCAAAGACCGUUAUCCGAUUAUUAACGAGGUGAAAGAACUAGGGGAAUCACCCUGCUGUUUACACCUGCCAAAUGAUUUCACAAGCGGUGUCGCCGUCAAACAUUUUGAUAGCCUCGUGCGAUUAGAGAUUUGAUGCGAGAUUUCCAGACCUUAGAAUGCCCGUCUCUCCCCAUUAGUAGCUUUCCCUUGACAAAUCAGUUACCUCUUCAGAAAAUACAAUCGAACAGACAAAAUAUUAUACUACUGGCCAAUCACCUGAAAGACGAGGAGUCAGCAAAAGAUUGACAGUGCUUCAAAAUGGUUCGAUAACAACAUGAUAGCCAUCAUGGUAACUCACCUUAAUAGCGGCCCAAAAACGGAGCUCACAUCAUUUGGAUCAAAAUCCUCCCUUCGUGUGUAUCAUCAUGGUCGCCACGGUAUUUUUGUUGCAAGUGCUGAUUUGCCGGGAAAAAAUAAGAUAAAAGAAAAAUGUCAAAAUAAGAAAGGAAAUCCAUCAAGGUCCAUUUCAUCAUACUUUUCCUCACCUAGAUGAAAUGUAAACAAUCUGCAAAUAUAUCGCAACAAAGCGCUGUUAUCUUGACUUAUAGAUAUGAAACCUGCUAGCAAGCUACCAAUCCUAUCACAGAAGUGACCCCAUCCACCGUCCUAAUAGUGGAAUACGUACGCUAACUAGCCAGGGUGCUACCCAGAAAGAGCAAAUUGUAAAGACAGUGCUCACUAGUACACUGUUAAAUAACGUUUAACUCUAUCGUUAUAGAAAAGUGUCUUUUAAUGCGUGGACAUUACAGAGUGUCGAAUGCACACUGUCUAUGUCGUUCGCUUGACACAAUUCAUUCAUUGAAGGGAGAUGUUUAUUUUGUAGCAAGCUAGAACUCAAUAAUAACCUGGUGCUACAUUGUAUCCAGUGCGUUUCUGUCUAGCUUGCUAACUGCCUAUCAUUUUUCAGGGUUGGAUUGCUAGGUGUAACUUAUGUUGGUUCUCUGGUAUCGUGGCUGAACACUGUUUAUCUGGGAGAACAGUUAAGUCAGACUUUCUAAUUACAAUAGCCACGCUGUCGUUAUAACAAGAUAAUUACACCAGACAAACCCGUAGGUAAAACGAAUAAUCUGUCCUGUCAUAUCCACACAGAUGCUACGGCUAGCUACAGGCUAACUGUGUACAGCCCUCUCGGCUAACGAAGCAGUGUGCUGCAACUGGCUAGCUUGUUUCCUUUGCAAAGUAUGCACUCUCGCCUAGUCUAUUAAAGGACGAUCAUAAAAUGGAUAUGCUGUAAGAGACAGUAACAAGAAUUGAUUUUAAGUAAAAUGAUAUUCAGAUAUAGCGUUGGAUAGGUUAUUAAAAAAACACGAACUGUCAACAAAAUGGCGGCUGCGUUGAAUCAACAGAGACCCGAAAUGGAUCUCUCCCUGUAUUUCUUCUCCCACUCCUUCUUUUUCUUUACAGUGGUUGUUAUCCGUCGUAUCCCAAAAUGUCGCCGGAAUCCUUCUCCGGGACAGUGUUAGUCGAGCUUGGACGUGUCGGAAUGGGCCUCUCUCAUUAAUCGGGCCUCCAUGCCUGCUAAGCCCGUAACGUUUCUGUCAGUACAACACGGGCAUUCUCUCCGUCACAGAGCGGGAGGGGAGGGAGGGAGAGACUGUGAGCG